GACGAACGCUGGCGGCGUGCCUAACACAUGCAAGUCGAACGAGAAUCUGUCGAAAGAUUCCUUCGGGAUGAAUUUGACAGAGGAAAGUGGCGGACGGGCGAGUAACGCGUGAGUAACCUGCCAUAAGAGGGGGAUAACCCAUGGAAACGUGGACUAAUACCGCAUAUUGAAUAUAUACUGCAUGGUAGAUAUUUGAAAGAUUUAUCGCUUAUGGAUGGACUCGCGUCAGAUUAGCUAGUUGGUGAGGUAACGGCUCACCAAGGCGACGAUCUGUAGCCGAACUGAGAGGUUGAUCGGCCGCAUUGGGACUGAGACACGGCCCAG
rnacentral:rRNA from 1 species